rnacentral:lncRNA from 1 species
UUUCACCAUCACACACAAAUAAUAGAUAAUCUUGGGAAGAACAAGAUACAGACCUGAACUCGUGACCAAAGUAGAGGGACCAAAACUUUAGCAUUGUUCUCGACGUAAACAUUUGUCCAGAGAGGGGAAGUAGAAAAAUCCAGCAGAGGAGUUUCUGUUUCUGUUGUUAUAUUGUCAUUGUCCACCCGUAAACUCAGUACAUAUGCAUCAUAGAAAGUACCUGC